rnacentral:tRNA from 1 species
AGCUUAGUCAGUAGAGCAUGUGACUCUUGAUCACAGGGUCAUGAGUUCAAAUCCCACU